rnacentral:rRNA from 1 species
UGAUACCUACGGGGCGCAGCAGUGGGGAAUAUUGCGCAAUGGGGGAAACCCUGAUGCAGCAACGCCGCGUGAGUGAAGAAGUCAUUCGUGGUGUAAAGCUCUAUCAGCAGGGAAGAAAAUGACGGUACCUGAGUAAGAAGCCCCGGCUAACUACGUGCCAGCAGCCGCGGUAAUACGUAGGGGGCAAGCGUUAUCCGGAUUUACUGGGUGUAAAGGGAGCGUAGACGGCCAGACAAGUCUGAAGUGAAAGCCCGGGGCUCAACUCCGGGACUGCUUUUGAAACUGUGUUGCUAGAUUGCAGGAGG